rnacentral:rRNA from 1 species
GGGUUGUGAGGUUAAGCGACUAAGCGUACACGGUGGCAUGCCCUGGCGAGUCAGAGGCGAUGAAGGACGUGCUAAUCUGCGAAAAGCGUCGGUAAGGUGAUAUGAACCGUUAUAACCGGCGAUGUCCGAAUGGGGAAACCCAGUG